rnacentral:rRNA from 1 species
UCUGGUGAUUAUGGCUUGAAGGUAACACCCGUUUCCAUGCCGAACACGAAGGUUAAGCUUCAAAGCGCUGAUGGUACUGCAGGGGAAGCCCU